rnacentral:lncRNA from 1 species
GUAAAGCUGAAACCUCAUGAGGAACCUCUUCGUUCUGAGAUCCUCAGUGGAAAAUUCACCAUCUUAAAUGUUCGGGACCCAACAGGAGCCUCCAUUGCCCUCUUUACUGCCAGGUUGCAUCAUCCCCACAAGUCAGUCCAACAUGUGGUACUUCAGGCUCUGUUUUACUUGCUAGACAGAGCUGUGGAUAGCUUUGAAACUCAGAGGAAUGGACUGGUGUUUAUCUAUGACAUGUGUGGUUCUAAUUAUGCCAACUUUGAGCUGGAUCUUGGCAAGAAAGUCCUAAACCUGCUGAAGUUACCCUUUAGUUCUACUGAUUUGGAGAAACCCCAGCACUCCUCUAUGGAGAAUAUACAGCAUCUAGAACAAACUUCUCCAAAGGCCUCUUCACUGAAGUGUGAUAAACUACUUUCAUCUUUUCCUUCAAAGAUGCAACAAUUUAUUUCAGGACCUAAAUGUCCAAGGUCCUUUUACCAGCAAAUCAAAAACCAUUCUAGGAAAACACCUGUUAUUUCCACAAAAUGAUAAAUAAAAAGUAGAAGCUA